rnacentral:rRNA from 1 species
AUACGUAGGUGGCGAGCGUUGUCCGGAAUUACUGGGUGUAAAGGGCGUGUAGGCGGGACUGCAAGUCAGAUGUGAAAUACCGGGGCUCAACUCCGGGGCUGCAUUUGAAACUGUAGUUCUUGAGUGCAGGAGAGGAAAGUGGAAUUCCUAGUGUAGCGGUGAAAUGCGUAGAUAUUAGGAGGAACACCAGUGGCGAAGGCGACUUUCUGGACUGUAACUGACGCUGAGGCGCGAAAGCGUGGGGAGCGAACAGGAUUAGAUACCCUGGUAGUCCACGCCGUAAACGAUGGAUACUAGGUGUAGGAGGUAUCGACCCCUUCUGUGCCGGAGUUAACACAAUAAGUAUCCCACCUGGGGAGUACGGCCGCAAGGUUGAA